ACGGCUAAAUCAAGUUAAAACACCUGUUCUCGUACGAUGACCGAAGUUAAGCCACGUCGAGCCUGGUCGUUGCUUAGAUCGGUGACCACUUGAAAAUACCAGGUGCUGUAA